rnacentral:rRNA from 1 species
GUGAGGAAUAUUGCGCAAUGGGCGAAAGCCUGACGCAGCAACGCCGCGUGGAUGAUGACGGCCUUCGGGUUGUAAAAUCCUUUUCUGUGGGAAGAAACGGACGGUACCACAGGAAUAAGUGUCGGCUAACUACGUGCCAGCAGCCGCGGUAAAACGUAGGACGCAAGCGUUAUCCGGAUUUACUGGGCGUAAAGCGCGUGCAGGCGGCUUGUUAAGUCGUGCGUGAAAGCUCCCUGGCUCAACCGGGAGAGGUCGUACGAAACUAGCAGGCUAGAGGGCAGCAGAGGAGUGUGGAAUUCCGGGUGUAGUGGUGAAAUGCGUAGAUAUCCGGAGGAACACCAGUGGCGAAGGCGGCACUCUGGGCUGUACCUGACGCUAAGACGCGAAAGCAUGGGUAGCGAACGGGAUUAGAAACCCCAGUAGUCC